AACGAACGCUGGCGGUGCGCUUAACACAUGCAAGUCGAACGGGCCCUUCGGGGUCAGUGGCAGACGGGUGAGUAACGCGUGGGAACGUGCCCUUCAGUUCGGGAUAACCCAGGGAAACUUGGGCUAAUACCGGAUACGUGCGAGAGCAGAAAGAUUUAUCGCUGAAGGAUCGGCCCGCGUCUGAUUAGCUGGUUGGUAGGGUAAUGGCCUACCAAGGCGACGAUCAGUAGCUGGUCUGAGAGGGUGAUCAGCCACAUUGGGACUGAGACACGGCCCAAACUCCUACGGGAGGCAGCAGUGGGGAAUAUUGGACAAUGGGCGCAAGCCUGAUCCAGCCAUGCCGCGUGAGUGAUGAAGGCCUUAGGGUUGUAAAGCUCUUUCGGUGGGGACGAUAAUGACGGUACCCACAGAAGAAGCCCCGGCUAACUUCGUGCCAGCAGCCGCGGUAACAC
rnacentral:rRNA from 1 species